GCGAAAACUUUACAAUGCUGGCAACAGCGAUAAGGGAACCUCGAGUGCCAGGUUACAAAUCUGGCUGUCGAGAUGCCUAAAAAGCAUUUCAUAGCAAGGGCCGGGCAAGACCGGUGCCAGCCGCCGCGGUAACACCGGCGGCUCGAGUGGUAACCGUUAUUAUUGGGUCUAAAGGGUCUGUAGCCGGCCGGAUAAGUCUCUUGAGAAAUCUGGCAGCUUAACUGGCAGGCUUUCAGGAGAUACUGUCUGGCUCGAGGCCGGGAGAGGUGAGAGGUACUUCAGGGGUAGGGGUGAAAUCUUGGAGUCCUGGAAGGACCACCAGUGGCGAAGGCGUCUCACCAGAACGGACCUGACGGCAAGGGACGAAAGCUAGGGGCACGAACC
rnacentral:rRNA from 1 species